ACUAUUCUGAGCAUAACAUCCAAACCCAAGGUGUCAAUCUCCUUUAUUGCUGUUUUAUUCUCCAUCUUUUUUCUUGACUCCAAGAUAACAAUCAUUUGUUCAUCCAGCAAACUUUUGUAAAGAACCUGCAAACACCAAGCACCAUGAAAGGCAGCAGGGGGUUGAGCCUUGAUGCUCUGCUCAAGACCAUAGCCUCCCAGAUCCUGCUCCCUGGGAAGGGAGAAAGAAGAAAGGACAGGGCAGAAACGUGCUGGGAUCAGUGUGCCCAGAGAGUGAAGAAGG